rnacentral:lncRNA from 1 species
CUGCAACCUGGGUGGUCCAGUGUGUCCUUUCACAAAGAAAAGACAGUCAACUUUUCGCCUCAAGGAAGCUUUCAUCAAAGCCUUAUAGGAGAUGAAUGACAUCAGCCACAGGCUUGUCCCUAAAUCUUUUUUACUGAAAUAUUAAUGUCAAUGACAAGCUUAUUUUGAAGGAAACACUGUGGUUUUCUGUUUAUUUCAACCAGCUGAAUCUUCUGUGGAACCCAGUUCAACUGGCCCUGAGGCAAAGGUAAAACGCAAGUUGUUCUCAAUCUUUGUAGUC